AGAGGGCGCAAUGCGUUUCGGAUCGUCUGGACGAUCUUCUCGUCUUUGCUGCUGAGAGUGACGGUCAGGAUGCCCGUCGGGUCCAGGCGCAUCAUGCGGUUCUUCCGCACCAGCUGUACAAGCCGUUCGGGUUGGACCCCUGUUGCCGGGUGAAACCGCACCGCAACCUCGUGUCCUCGGCGUUCAACCGACGAAAUCGCCAGCCGUUCGCAUACCGAUUUGAGAACGGCGUAAUCCAACAGGUUGCUGACCCCUGAAGGUAGCGGUCCAAACCGGUCCGCCAGCUCGCGGCCUACGGCCUCGCCUUCUCCUUCGUUGGCAAUUCCCGCAAUGCGCUUGUACGUGCGCAGCCGCAGCGUCUCG
rnacentral:misc_RNA from 1 species